GUGUUUAACCAGAGGAAUACAUUUGUGCAGGGGAGGUGGGAGGCAUGCGAAGAUAAUUUGAUAAUUAUCUUGAUUUAUUUUUAUUAUUGCGGUUUCAUAAUAAGGUGUAUAGCCCGGUUGGGCCUACAUAAGAAGGAUUGUUAUGCCUAAUAUAUAUUGUUGAUUUAUUUUUUAUCAACUUAAAUAAAAACCUUGAACGCUCAUAGGUGCUUCUUUGGGAACAUGCAGAUAAA
rnacentral:lncRNA from 1 species